CAGAGGAGGGACCUUCCUUCAAAGGGACUGGACAGGGAUCCUCCACAAGUUCCCCACCAGUCUUGCAGAACCUAGCCCAGGAACCUCCAGAGUGUCAGAUCAAAUGCAAGCAACAAAGCGCCAAGCGGCUCGGCUGUCUGGUCCAGAGAU